rnacentral:lncRNA from 1 species
UGACCUCUCCCUGCCCCUCGCUCCUGCUUUCAUCAUGUGAAAUACCUGCUCCUGCUUCACCUUCUGCCAUGAUUGAAGGCUCCCUGAGACUUCACCAGAAGCAGAUCAGAUGCCAGCAUCAUGCUUCCUGCAAAGCCUGCAGAUCUAAACCAAGAUCCCCAUCGAUGGAGAAUGCUGACCACUGUCAGGUAGACCUCAGGCAAAAAGAAACUGAAGACUGAACUCAGGCUGUUUUAAAUUUCUUCCCAAGGAGCCUGGAGACAGUCACACCUGCAGGCGACCAAUCUUGCUAGACUCGUCACACUGACCCAGUCUGUUGUGACUUGCUCUCAUGACUUGACUCUGGCAUAGCACCACUUGAUGAUUAAUAGUUUUCCUUAUCUUAACAAAUAAAUGUUAACACCAAGCCUUAACAUACCUUUCUGCUGACCCCAAGGUUUUAGACAAAGGCUUGUUCCCUUAGCCAGUUGCAAAUCAGAGAAUCUCUAAAUCCACCUGGGACCUGUUAGCCCCUGCUUCAAGAUAUCCUCCCUUUGCAGAACAAGUCAAUGUAUAACCUCCACGUAUUGAUUUAUGAGUUUGCCUAUUACUUCUGUUUUCCUGAAAUGUACCCCUGUCUUUAAAAACGCUUGUAAGCCACUGGGGAGGUUGGGUCUUAAGUGUUAGCUACCUGUUCUUCUUACUUGGUGCCCUGCAAUAAAUGUCCUUCUUUCUCUUCCUGCAAACCUUGGUGUUGGUAUUUGGCUUUAUUGUGCCAGGUGAGUGGAUCCAAGUUUGGUUCAGCAACAGUUUUUUUCCUCAUCUGUUAAAAUAAAGAGAACUGAAUGAUUUCCUAAUAUCCCUUCCAACUGUAAUAUCUAUUUGGACCUGACAAGACCCAAAAUUGUGGAGGAAGAAGUACAUGAAAUAUUACCUCACUAUCAUGUUUUCAGACCCUAUAUGUUUAUGAUUAAGUUGUUAUCUGCUAUAUUAUAUUAUAUUUUGUCAUCUGAGUCAUUAUUCAUUCUAAUAUAAAUUCACCCAUCUAUCCAUCCAUCCUAAGAACAAACACCCAACCACUAUUAUAUACUAGCUUUGUUUCUUCAGGUACAUAUUCGAUUUGCCAUGCUAUUUAAAACUAUACAUAAUCACACUACAAAUGUCAUUACUAAGAUAUAUGAUCACCUAGGGAAACUUCAUUGUUACUUGGAGGUGAAAUAUGAGUGUUAUGGGAUUUUUUUCUUGAGACAGGGUCUUACUCUGUUGCCCAAGCGGGAGUGCAGUGGUAUGAACAUGGCUCACUGCAGCCUUGACCUCUUGAGCUCAGGUGAUUCUCCCACUACAGUCCUCUGAGUAGCUGGGACUACAGGUGCAUGCCACCAUGUCUGGCUAAUUUGUUUAUUUUUUGUAGAGAUGGGAUUUCACCAUGUUGCCCAGGCGGGUCUCAAACCCCUGGGCUUAAGUAAUCCUUCUGCCUUGGUCUCCCAAAAUGUUGGGAUUAUAGGUGUGAGACACUGUGCUCAGCUAGGAUUUUUUUUUUUUUUUUUUGAUAAAUGAUUUCAGCUUUUUCUACGGAGGGUUUCUUGCCUGCCCCCAUAAUCCUGGAUCACUCAGCAUAAUCAGCAAAGGAUUGAGAUUUCUCUACGAUUUAGUUAUCAGCUAAAUAAAGCCAAUAGACCUCAUUAUUUGACCAGUAGCCAGAGUAUGAGCUUGGAAGAAGCUCAUAAGUCCUAUGGCAGGUCACUGGGGGGAUAUUACUUAUAGGCAAGUAAUAUUUCAGAGUUGUCAAACAGUCUUGUAUCAGGGUUUUCUAGAGGGACAGAACUAAUAGGAUAUAUGUAUAUAUGAAAGGGAGUUUAUUAAGGAGAAUUGAUUCACAUGAUCAUAAGGUGAAGUCCUACGAUAGGCUGUCUGCAAGUUGAGGAGCAAGGAAGCCAGUGGUGGAUCAGUCCAAGUCCCAAACCUCAAAAAUAGGGAAGCCGACAGUGCAGCCUUUGGUCUGUGGCCAAUGGCCCAAGAGCCCCUGGCAAACCACUGGUGUAAGUCCAAGAGUCCAAAAGCUGAAGAACUUGGAGUCUAAUGUUUGAAGGCAAGAAGCAUCCAGCACAGGAGAAAGAUGAAGGCUGGAAGACUCAGCAAGUCUUCUCUUCCAUUUUCUUCUGCCUGCUUUAUUCUAACUGCCCUGGCAGCUGAUUAGAUGGUGCCCCCCUAGGUUGAGGAUGGGUCUGUCUCUCCGAGUCCACUGACUCAAAUGUUAAUCUCCUUUGGCAACACCCUUACAGACACACCAAGGAACAAUACUUUGCAUCCUUCAAUCCAAUCAAGUUGACACUCAAUAUUAUUCAUCACAAGCCUUAUGCAUGCAGCUGCCCACUCUGUACUAUGAAGGCA